CCAAGCCCAGAGCCAGCACAUAGUGGGUGCUCAGAAAAUCCGAGCUGCCACUGCCACUGCCACCACCCCCAAGGCCCCGGCAUUGAACAGAGACUAGCACAUGGCUGUCUGUACAUAGCCGUUGAAUGAAUGAAUGAAUGAACAAACCAACCAUGGCUCAUUCUGGACAAAAACUCAUAAUUUAGGCCAUGAUAAGAGAUCCCAUGGCAAGGAAUUUUGAACUCGUAAGACUUACCUGCAAACCCUGCUGAAAAGUAAAAGAAAAAGGAAAAAGAACUAAGCCAAGCCCUCAAGCUGGCCAUGAGGUCCCGGGGUGUUUGUUUCGGGUGGAGGGGCCUGAGUCACCCCCAGCCUAUUUGCUGGGCUGUUUGGGUUUUGACCGUUUCCCAGGUCUGGCAAUGCCUGGCCUGUGAUAUCUGUGUUUGACACAACAUGGAGCCUGAGGUGGGGGCAGGAGCGGGGAGCAGGAGAGGUGGCCACGGUCUUGCUGCCCGCUGGCAGUCCCUGCCCCGCCUCCAGUACCUAGCCUGCCGCACUCCUCGCGCUUGGUGAAGUACUUGAAUCCAUUGGCCGCCCGCCGCUCAGCCUUUUCGUGCUUCUUUACGUGCCACGGCAGCUUGGUGGUGAUGUUGGUCACGAAGUGGCAGCCGGUCCGGAGGCAGUGGUAGUGCCCGCGCAUCCGGAACUCGCAGUGCUGUAGGCGGGCACAGGAGGGUCAGGACAGGAAGCCGCACACAUUAUGAUACAAAGUCACCGUUCUCGCCACAAGGAGCCACCACCAUCCAGUGAGGAGGGUCCCUUCCACCCCUGAGAGCUCAGACCCUGUGCAGGUGAGUGCCCCCUCGCCCUGUCUGUGACCUCCCCAGCCCUGCAGACAUUCUACCAUGGGUGUGCACCCCUGAGGAUGCCCACGCGGAGGCCCGGAGGGAGAUGCAGCCCUCUUUGUCGGGCAAGCAAACAUCCUUUGAGGACUACCACGCCCAGCCCACCCAGGCCGGUCCUUGCGUGAUCACCACCUGCCCGCCCGGAGCAGAGGCCACUACCUCUACCGUCUCCCCCACCCGGACACCUGCUCCGGGAAUAGGCAGUGAGGUAUGAGCAGCAGCAUCUUUGGCUAGAAGGACAUCGCCCAAUGGCCAUGUCCCAGAGAGGCAGGGGACGGCCAGCGCUAACUGCAGGGUGAGGAGCAGGGCCUCCUCAGCCGCCCUUGCUAGCACCUACUCCCAAGACGCGAGGGGAACAUGGGACUCCCGGCUCAUCGAGGGACUCACUUCUCCUGGAACUGGAGGAAUCCGGGUUUGACCUGGGGCUUGGCGUUCUCUAGAGAAGUCGUUGCCAAGGGCGAAGCGGGCAGCUCCUUCAUUGUGUGUGCACGCAUGUGACAGCAAGCCCUGCCUCCUGAAGCCCUUCCCUCCAUCACCCACUCUGAGGUUUUAAGGCAGGACUCUCUUCUGCGGACUAGCAGCUGGGAUGCCCAUGUGCUGAGAACAGCCUGGUCUGGGGCUUAGAGAGCCCUGAAGAUCUGUAUUAAAUGUUUACAAAUUCUGA